rnacentral:rRNA from 1 species
GAUGAACGCUGGCGGCGUGCCUAAUACAUUCAAGUCGAGCGAAGCGGGGACGGGUGAGUAACACGUGGAUAACCUCCUAUAAGACUGGGAUAACUUCGGGAAACCGUAGCUAAACCGGAUACUUCAAAAUGGAUCCGCGCGGCAUUAGCGAGUUGGUAAGGUAACGGCUUACCAAGGCAACGAUGCAUAGCAGACCGGAGAGGGGGAUGGGCCACACUGGAACUGAGACACGGUCCAGACGCCUAGGGGGGGAAGCAGUAGGGAAUCUUCCGAAAUGGGCGAAAGCCUGACGGAGCAACGCCGCGUGAGUGAUGAAGGUCUUCGGAUCGUAAAACUCUGUUAUUAGGGAAGCGGUACCUAAUCAGAAAGCCACGGCUAACUACGUGCCAGCCGCCGCGGUAAUAC